GGGAAGUCUCAGUGGGAAGGAUGAUCCAGGAUCCCACCGCUGGAAGGGUGACUCUUUGCCAAUUGAGCAUCCCUGCAAUCACAGGUGGGCAGCUGAUGCAGCCAAGAGCUCCGUGAUGCCUCACCACACCCGUCGUGUUCCUGAGAGGACUCCCAGCCAAAGCUCAGCAUCACGGCCACCUCUGCCACGUGCUCCCUGAGGUGACUCCUCUGGAUAUCGAGCCCUGGAGGAGAGGUUACACCUCAGGUUUUGCCUGGCUUGAAGAGAAUAAAAAGCCCCAUUGGUGACAGCAACAUCAACAGAUGCAAACUAGGGAGUGAGUGUGGAAGUGAGCUGCCUUCACCUUUAUCUGCUGCUGUUGGACAGAUGAAUCCACACUACGGCAGAGCACUUGCAGAUUACUCUCCUUCUUCUGUGAAAGUUUGCCUAUCAGUGUAAGCGGCAUCUGGAGAUGGGAAAACUGAACUUCAGGUCCCACUUCUGGAAACGUGGAGCUGGG
rnacentral:lncRNA from 1 species